rnacentral:rRNA from 1 species
CACGUAGGCGGAUAUUUAAGUCAGGGGUGAAAUCCCGCAGCUCAACUGCGGAACUGCCUUUGAUACUGGGUAUCUUGAGUAUGGAAGAGGUAAGUGGAAUUCCGAGUGUAGAGGUGAAAUUCGUAGAUAUUCGGAGGAACACCAGUGGCGAAGGCGGCUUACUGGUCCAUUACUGACGCUGAGGUGCGAAAGCGUGGGGAGCAAACA